rnacentral:sRNA from 1 species
AUACCGAUGAUACCGAAGACCAAUAUUUGGGAUAUUUUUACUAUUUUAUUGGAUCAAACUUCAUCGAAAAGUAACGAAUCUCGGGUGCCAUUGCUCUUUUAUUACCGUAGAGUUUAUGUCAAUCACAGGGUUCUACAUACUUGGUAUAAUAAUA